CAUAAACAGAAUGUGGUGGUUUUUUACUAUAAGGUUUUAGCUAAGCAGGCACGGAAUUUUCUAGAACUACUUUCCCUGUAUAAUUAGGAUUUGGCACAAAGAGCUUCAAGUGAGAUUUGGAAGGUACAAGAGGAGCAGCAGUCAUUACAGAAGAUUAGUACAAGCCUCCAUGCAUGUCCAACCCUUGACACAUUUGCUGCUGAUUCACGGGCUUCUCUCACUGGUGUGCAUAGACCCACAGCUCCUCUGCCUGCUGUCAGAUCGCUUCCUUCAGCUUUUCCAAGUCCUGAGUCAGGCACGUGUGCAACUCUGGGGUGAAAGACACCAGCUUCUUCUGCAGAUUACCUGUAUCAUUUGGGUUUGAAGCAUAUUCUGAUGUGUCUUUGUGAAUACCAGUUUAUUCUCAAGGAUUUUAGGUUGUCUUUUCUUUUUUUUUUUUUUUUUUCUAUUUCGUUUAGAGCUUUUCUUCCUGAUGGCUUAUCUACCGAUCAAAGCAACUUCUACCUCACCAGCAGGUAGAGAGGCAACUUCUUCCAUAGAUUUCUUCACCAGUUUUCCUUAGCCGUCUCCUUGGAACAUUUGAAAUCCUCUGGUUCUUUGGCGCCCAAAUAUGAAGGUCAUUUCAUCAAGGGCCCAAAAUUUUCAUAGAGAGGAUUUGAGAAAGGUGAUCUCAAUAAAAUACAAAAAAAAAAAAGGAAGAAAA